rnacentral:tRNA from 1 species
GCUCCCAUCGUCUAGACCGGUCAAGGAUUCUGGCCUUUCAAGCCAGCGGCCCGGGUUCAAAUCCCGGUGGGAGCA